UACGUAGGGCGCAAGCGUUGUCCGGAAUUAUUGGGCGUAAAGAGCUCGUAGGUGGCUUGUCGCGUCUGCCGUGAAAGCCCAUGGCUUAACUGUGGGUCUGCGGUGGAUACGGGCAGGCUGGAGGCUGGUAGGGGCAAGCGGAAUUCCUGGUGUAGCGGUGAAAUGCGCAGAUAUCAGGAGGAACACCGGUGGCGAGGGCGGGUCUCUGGGCCGAUAUUGACGCUGAGGAGCGAAAGCGUGGGGAGCGAACAGG
rnacentral:rRNA from 1 species